rnacentral:sRNA from 1 species
AUCACAGUUUUACAUUUCAUUCCAUAUAAAUAAGCAGGAAUCUUAUUGUUGUUCAUCAAUCAAAAACAAACAGAGCAUUAAGCAUAUAUUUGGCUAUACUAAGGCUUUUUUAUUUCUCAGUUUCUCAUUAUGCCUAUCAAAAAUGUGUUUUCACUCUUAGUGGUUCUAUGCAUCAUAGUUUCUGUAAAUGCUCAGUUACCUCAGUUUCCGGCUCCGUUUCUUUUUCCAUUUUCGUUUCAACCGAUUCCUGGAAUGCCAGGAUUACCUGAUAUAACGAAAUGUUGGUCAUCCGUGAUGGAUAUUCCUGAAUGCAUUGCAGAGAUUUCUCAAUCCAUUUUUAUUGGCAAAUUCAGUAAUUUAGGUUCUGCUUGUUGCAAAGCAUUUUUGGACGCUGAAGCCAACUGCAUACCAAAAAUUCCACUUAUUCCGCUUUUCCCUCCGAUGCUAAAAGAACAAUGUUCAAGAAUUGCCGGUGUAACUCCUCCUACACCGAAAUAGAGUUUUAAAUUAU